rnacentral:rRNA from 1 species
UCUACAGGCUUAACACAUGCAAGUCGAGGGGCAUCAGGAAGAAAGCUUGCUUUCUUUGCUGGCGACCGGCGCACGGGUGAGUAACACGUAUCCAACCUGCCCUUUACUCGGGGAUAGCCUUUCGAAAGAAAGAUUAAUACCCGAUAGCAUAAUGAUUCCGCAUGGUUUCAUUAUUAAAGGAUUCCGGUAAAGGAUGGGGAUGCGUUCCAUUAGGUUGUUGGUGAGGUAACGGCCCACCAAGCCUUCGAUGGAUAGGGGUUCUGAGAGGAAGGUCCCCCACAUUGGAACUGAGACACGGUCCAAACUCCUACGGGAGGCAGCAGUGAGGAAUAUUGGUCAAUGGGCGCUAGCCUGAACCAGCCAAGUAGCGUGAAGGAUGAAGGCUCUAUGGGUCGUAAACUUCUUUUAUAUAAGAAUAAAGUGCAGUAUGUAUACUGUUUUGUAUGUAUUAUAUGAAUAAGGAUCGGCUAACUCCGUGCCAGCAGCCGCGGUAAUACGGAGGAUCCGAGCGUUAUCCGGAUUUAUUGGGUUUAAAGGGAGCGUAGGUGGACUGGUAAGUCAGUUGUGAAAGUUUGCGGCUCAACCGUAAAAUUGCAGUUGAUACUGUCAGUCUUGAGUACAGUAGAGGUGGGCGGAAUUCGUGGUGUAGCGGUGAAAUGCUUAGAUAUCACGAAGAACUCCGAUUGCGAAGGCAGCUCACUGGACUGCAACUGACACUGAUGCUCGAAAGUGUGGGUAUCAAACAGGAUUAGAUACCCUGGUAGUCCACACAGUAAACGAUGAAUACUCGCUGUUUGCGAUAUACAGUAAGCGGCCAAGCGAAAGCAUUAAGUAUUCCACCUGGGGAGUACGCCGGCAACGGUGAAACUCAAAGGAAUUGACGGGGGCCCGCACAAGCGGAGGAACAUGUGGUUUAAUUCGAUGAUACGCGAGGAACCUUACCCGGGCUUAAAUUGCAGUGGAAUGAUGUGGAAACAUGUCAGUGAGCAAUCACCGCUGUGAAGGUGCUGCAUGGUUGUCGUCAGCUCGUGCCGUGAGGUGUCGGCUUAAGUGCCAUAACGAGCGCAACCCUUAUCUUUAGUUACUAACAGGUUAUGCUGAGGACUCUAGAGAGACUGCCGUCGUAAGAUGUGAGGAAGGUGGGGAUGACGUCAAAUCAGCACGGCCCUUACGUCCGGGGCUACACACGUGUUACAAUGGGGGGUACAGAAGGCAGCUAGCGGGUGACCGUAUGCUAAUCCCAAAAUCCUCUCUCAGUUCGGAUCGAAGUCUGCAACCCGACUUCGUGAAGCUGGAUUCGCUAGUAAUCGCGCAUCAGCCACGGCGCGGUGAAUACGUUCCCGGGCCUUGUACACACCGCCCGUCAAGCCAUGGGAGCCGGGGGUACCUGAAGUACGUAACCGCAAGGAUCGUCCUAGGGUAAAACUGGUGACUGGGGCUAAAA